rnacentral:tRNA from 1 species
GCGAGCGUAGCUCAGUUGGUAGAGCAUCAGCUUCCCAAGCUGAGGGUCGCGGGUUCGAAUCCCGUCGCUCGCUCCA